UCAGCGGCGGACGGGUGAGUAAUGCCUAGGAAUCUGCCCGAUAGUGGGGGACAACGUUUCGAAAGGAACGCUAAUACCGCAUACGUCCUACGGGAGAAAGUGGGGGAUCUUCGGACCUCACGCUAUCGGAUGAGCCUAGGUCGGAUUAGCUAGUUGGUGAGGUAAUGGCUCACCAAGGCUACGAUCCGUAACUGGUCUGAGAGGAUGAUCAGUCACACUGGAACUGAGACACGGUCCAGACUCCUACGGGAGGCAGCAGUGGGGAAUAUUGGACAAUGGGCGAAAGCCUGAUCCAGCCAUGCCGCGUGUGUGAAGAAGGUCUUCGGAUUGUAAAGCACUUUAAGUUGGGAGGAAGGGCAUUAACCUAAUACGUUAGUGUUUUGACGUUACCGACAGAAUAAGCACCGGCUAACUUCGUGCCAGCAGCCGCGGUAAUACGAAGGGUGCAAGCGUUAAUCGGAAUUACUGGGCGUAAAGCGUGCGCAGGCGGCUAUGCAAGACAGAUGUGAAAUCCCCGGGCUCAACCUGGGAACUGCAUUUGUGACUGCAUGGCUAGAGUGCGUCAGAGGGAGGUGGAAUUCCGCGUGUAGCAGUGAAAUGCGUAGAGAUGCGGAGGAACACCGAUGGCGAAGGCAGCCUCCUGGGAUGACACUGACGCUCAUGCACGAAAGCGUGGGGAGCAAACAGGAUUAGAUACCCUGGUAGUCCACGCCCUAAACGAUGUCAACUAGUUGUCGGGGAUUCAUUUCCUUGGUAACGCAGCUAACGCGUGAAGUUGACCGCCUGGGGAGUACGGCCGCAAGGUUAAAACUCAAA
rnacentral:rRNA from 1 species